rnacentral:rRNA from 1 species
GACGAACGCUGGCGGCGUGCUUAACACAUGCAAGUCGAACGGAAAGGCCCUGCUUUUGUGGGGUGCUCGAGUGGCGAACGGGUGAGUAACACGUGAGUAACCUGCCCUUGACUUUGGGAUAACUUCAGGAAACUGGGGCUAAUACCGGAUAGGAGCUCCUGCUGCAUGGUGGGGGUUGGAAAGUUUCGGCGGUUGGGGAUGGACUCGCGGCUUAUCAGCUUGUUGGUGGGGUAGUGGCUUACCAAGGUUUUGACGGGUAGCCGGCCUGGGAGGGUGACCGGCGACAUUGGGACUGAGGGACGGACCAGACGCCUACGGGAGGCAGCGGUGGGGAGUAUUACGCAGUGGGCGGGAGCCUGAUGCGGCAGCGCCGCGUGCGGAAUGACGGCCUUCGGGUUGUGAACCGCUUUCGCCUGUGACGAAGCGUGAGUGACGGUAAUGGGUAAAGAAGCACCGGCUAACUACGUG